rnacentral:lncRNA from 1 species
AGCUAGGGGGAAAGGCACAGAAACCUACAGUUCGUAAGCACCUUCACACCCAGGAAGCAACACCACGCUUCCCGACGGAGACUUUCUCCCCCUGGCGGCUACGGCGGCGGUGGCAGCUGCAAGGGCGCAGACUCGAACCCAGGGCCUGAACCUACCACCCGCGGGGAUAGGGAGGGGCAGACGACGUAGCCUCGGGAGGCGGGUGGCGGUGCGGGCGGGCGCCGCAAGCCCGGGAGGGGCGCGGGCGGGCAGGUUUCGGUCGUGGCCCGUGGUCGCCGAGCUGGGCCGUCUCAGGGGUAGAGCGUGCAGCAGGUCGGGGCGGGCGUGAGGUGAGCGGAUCGAGUGCUCUAUUCUCAAGCCACUCUCGUCUGCUUUCGGACGGCUGGGGAAGAGACAGCGAACGGCUAUGCAGAACUCCAUGCACCACACGCCUUUCCCUCUCCUCCCCUUUGGGGAAAGUUGGCUUCUAGGACUGGUGGGUUUUCGAGAGGUGGCGGUGCGUUUAGAGGCUUUACUAAGGUGCAAGAAGCCGGUUGACGGGCGACUUCGUAAGGCUGGUGCGGGGAGAGGAGGCCAGUUUGCAGAGUUAAAGCCUGACCCCCGGGGCCUGACGCGCCAAACUCGGGGGCUCCGGAGAAGCCGCAGACGCCUCGGCGCACCUGUUGUCGCCGUCACUCAUCCCCGCCGAGCGGGCGGGGCGGCGCGGGCCGCUUGGCCGGGAACCGCCGCGCCGCCCCGUCCGAGCUCCGGCGUCAACCUUAGACCCGCGCCCGCUGAGCACAGCCCGGCCGUCGCACAGCCGGCCAGCGAUGGAUCUACCUGCGCGCUUCCAGGGAUUGACUUCAGCUCCUGCUCCAUGCCAGUUUCAAGAUUCAGCCUUUACUGCUGAACCGCUGGGGAACCUGUGGUAAGUACAUACUAGCUAUAAAACUUCUAUACACAAAGUGUUCUUCUACUCGUCUUUCACUGACCUAAGCAAGUCACAUGGCUGAGCCUCCUGUGAAUGGGAUGAGGCUGUAUUAAUGCUCCCACAGGGAAGGAUCAGUGACCAUCUCCCGAAAUAGGAUGAUCUGCUCUAUGACAAAGAGUAUUAAUGAAGUAUUUGUAUGUGAUCAUACUAAUGAAUGUUAUUAAUGAUUGGCGAGUUAAGGGAAUUAAUGAUGAGAAAAAAGAGAAAAUAUUUUUUAUAAUUCAGUAGGUGCUUGUUUCUCAUCCACAGGUAAGAAACACAUCU